rnacentral:rRNA from 1 species
CCAAUAGCGUAUAUUAAAGUUGUUGCAGUUAAAAAGCUCGUAGUUGAAUUUCGGGACCAAUUUGUUGGUCGUGCCUCGGUACGUACUGGUAUUAUUGGUUUUUCCCUUCUGAAGAACCUCGAUGCCAUUAAUUUGGUGUCGUGGGGAAUCAGGACUGUUACUUUGAAAAAAUUAGAGUGUUUAAAGCAAGCAUACGCUUGAAUACAUUAGCAUGGAAUAAUGAAAUAGGAAGCUUGAUUCUAUUUUGUUGGUUUCUAGGAUCGACGUAAUGAUUAAUAGGGAUGGUUGGGGGCAUUAGUAUUCAAUUGUCAGAGGUGAAAUUCUUGGAUUUAUUGAAGACUAACUACUGCGAAAGCAUUUGCCAAGGAUGUUUUCAUUAAUCAAGAACGAAAGUUGGGGGAUCGAAGACGAUCAGAUACCGUCGUAGUCUUAACCAUAAACUAUGCCGACUAGGGAUCGGAUGAUGUUAAUUUUUUAAUGACUCAUUCGGCGCCUUACG